rnacentral:rRNA from 1 species
UACGGAGGGUGCGAGCGUUGUCCGGAAUCACUGGGCGUAAAGGGCGCGUAGGUGGCGAAGCAAGUCAACGGUGAAAGCUCGACGCUCAACGUCGAGUCGGCCGUCGAUACUGCAUCGCUCGAGCACUGUAGAGGCAGAUGGAAUUCCGGGUGUAGCGGUGAAAUGCGCAGAUAUCAGGAGGAACACCGGUGGCGAAGGCGGGUCUCUGGGCCGAUAUUGACGCUGGAGGAGCGAAAGCGUGGGGAGCGAACAGG